rnacentral:rRNA from 1 species
CCUACGGGUGGCAGCAGUGGGGAAUAUUGCACAAUGGAGGAAAGCCUGACGCAGCGACGCCGCGUGAAGGAAGAAGGAUUUCGGUAUGUAAACUUCUAUCAGCAGGGAAGAAAAUGACGGUACCUAACUAAGAAGCCCCGGCUAACUACGUGCCAGCAGCCGCGGUAAUACGUAGGGGGCAAGCGUUAUCCGGAUUUACUGGGGGUAAAGGGAGCGGAGGCGGUGCAGCAAGUCAGAAGUGAAAGCCCGGGGCUCAACUCCGGGACUGCUUUUGAAACUGUUGAAGUAGAUUGCAGGAGAGGUAAGUGGAAUUCCUAGUGUAGCGGUGAAAUGCGUAGAUAUUAGGAGGAACACCAGUGGCGAAGGCGGCUUACUGGACUGUAAAUGACGCUGAGGCUCGAAAGCGUGGGUAUCAAACAGGAUUAGAUACCCUUGUAGUC